rnacentral:rRNA from 1 species
ACCUAUGGCCAGACCAGACUGAAUUGACUUGAUCCCAUCUGAUCUCAAAAGCAAAGUAGUCCUGGGCCUAGUUAAUACUUGGAUGGGAGACCACCUGGGAAUCCUGGGUGGCAUAGGCA